ACGACGCUGGCGGCAGGCCUAACACAUGCAAGUCGAGCGAGAUCUUCGGAUCUAGCGGCGGACGGGUGAGUAACGCGUGGGGAUGUGCCCUUUGCUACGGAAUAGUCCCGGGAAACUGGGUUUAAUACCGUAUGAGCCCUUCGGGGGAAAGAUUUAUCGGCAAAGGAUCAACCCGCGUUGGAUUAGGUAGUUGGUGGGGUAAUGGCCUACCAAGCCGACGAUCCAUAGCUGGUUUGAGAGGAUGAUCAGCCACACUGGGACUGAGACACGGCCCAGACUCCUACGGGAGGCAGCAGUGGGGAAUCUUGGACAAUGGGGGCAACCCUGAUCUAGCCAUGCCGCGUGAACGAUGAAGGCCUUAGGGUUGUAAAGUUCUUUCAGCUGGGAAGAUAAUGACGGUACCAGCAGAAGAAGCCCCGGCUAACUCCGUGCCAGCCGCCGCGGUAAUAC
rnacentral:rRNA from 1 species